GGAUGUGAGAUCUGGCUGCAACAUCUGUCACCCCAUUGAUCUCCAGGGUUGAUUCCGCUGAUCUGGCUGGCUAGGCGGGUGUCCCCUUCUUCCCUCACCAUUCCAUGUGCUUCCCUCCCAAAGCUGUGCACUUAAUUGAAGAGGAAGGCCUUCCCCUAAUGGAGACAGACCGGUCUUUGGCUGAGGGUAUAUGAGUAGCUGUGCUCCCAUGCUAGAACCUCCAAACGAGCUCUAAAAUAGGCCUACUAACUAUCUAUAAAACGGAGACCCCAAAAUCUUCAUCUGCAAUAAUGCUGCCUUUAGGU
rnacentral:snRNA from 1 species